rnacentral:rRNA from 1 species
UACGUAGGAGGCAAGCGUUGUCCGGAGUUACUGGGCGUAAAGGGCCCGCAGGCGGUGGAGUAAGUUUGGAGUGACAGUUCCCAGCUUAACCGGGAAAGGACUUCGAAAACUGCUCGACUUGAGGACUGGAGAGGAAGGCGGAAUUCCGGGUGGAGCGGUGAAAUGCGUAGAGAUCCGGAGGAACACCGACGGCGAAGGCAGCCCCCUGGGUCAAGAUUGACGCUCAUGCACGAAAGCGUGGGGAGCAAACAGGAUUAGAGUACCCGGG